UGGCUCAGAUACUCCCAUUCCGGG
rnacentral:siRNA from 1 species